rnacentral:rRNA from 1 species
CAACCCUGAUCCAGCCAUGCCGCGUGCGGGAAGAAGGCCUUCGGGUUGUAAACCGCUUUCGGACAGAAAGAAAUCGCACGGGCUAAUACCCUGUGUGGAUGACGGUACUGUAAGAAGAAGCACCGGCUAACUACGUGCCAGCAGCCGCGGUAAUACGUAGGGUGCGAGCGUUAAUCGGAAUUACUGGGCGUAAAGCGUGCGCAGGCGGAUUGUUAAGCAAGAUGUGAAAUCCCCGGGCUUAACCUGGGAAUUGCAUUUUGAACUGGCAGUCUAGAGUGCGUCAGAGGGGGGUGGAAUUCCACGUGUAGCAGUGAAAUGCGUAGAGAUGUGGAGGAACACCGAUGGCGAAGGCAGCCCCCUGGGAUGACACUGACGCUCAUGCACGAAAGCGUGGGGAGCAAACAGGAUUAGAUACCCUGGUAGUCCACGCCCUAAACGAUGUCAACUGGCUGUUGGGUGCGAAAGUACUUAGUAGCGAAGCUAACGCGUGAAGUUGACCGCCUGGGGAGUACCGGCCGCAAGGUUGAAACUCAAAGGAAUUGACG